AAGAUCGGCGCUUGUGCUUCAGGAGUUUCGAGGGCGUGCACGUCUGUUUUAACGCGUCAGGAUGUUCGGGUUCUUGUGCUGCUGGUUACCUAAGUGGUUCGAAUAGUGCUGUGUUGCUUGUAAAGUGAUUUUGGGGCCGUUUUUCCGGUUUAGGCUAUUGAGAUAUAACAAGUAUUCCUGGCUAGUCCUCAACUCGCUGAGGAGAGAGGACUUGAAGAGGGGAGGAUGACACUGUGGAUCAAGUUUCAGAAAAGCCUGUUUAUUCAAAGAUAAAGUGAACUACAGAAAAAAUAAAGUAGAAAUGAAAGUAAAAGUGA